CAGCCGCCACGGGAAUACGAAGGGGGCUAGCGUUGCUCGGAAUUACUGGGCGUAAAGAGCGCGUAGGCGGACAGUUCAGUCGGGGGUGAAAGCCCGGGGCUCAACCUCGGAAUUGCCUUCGAUACUGGCUGUCUUGAGUAUGAGGGAGGUGUGUGGAACUCCGAGUGUAGAGGUGAAAUUCGUAGAUAUUCGGAAGAACACCAGUGGCGAAGGCGACACACUGGCUCAUUACUGACGCUGAGGCGCGAAAGCGUGGGGAGCAAACAGGAUUAGAUACCCCGGUAGUCCCUGUCUCUUAUAC
rnacentral:rRNA from 1 species